UUAUUAUCCUGAUAUGAAUUCAGCUUAUGAUCCUGAAUUUAUAUUAUUAAAGCAGUCAAUGAUAUUAUUUCAGAGUUAUAACUGACUUAGCAAAGUCACGUUAUUUAUUUAAGCGAGAUGGAAUUAGAAUUUAUUUUUACUCAAAUCGUGAAUUAUUUCCGACUCGUGAGUUAAUUAAAUCUGCGGAUUUAAUUUAGAUAUCAGAACAACGAACGAAUUAAAUCUACGGAUUUAAUUUAAAUUCAUUUUAUAAUUUAUCGAUUUUUAGCGAGAUAUCACAUGUCGAAAUUGGGAUUUAUUUAAAUAAACAGUACAAGCAAAUAUGAGCACGCGAUCCACUUUACAGUUAUAGAAUCACCGAGACAGAGAAAAUACAUCAAUAAUUCUCCUCUACAUUUUUUUUUUUUCCUUUCUUUUUCUUCUCUUUUUCUUUCCAUUAAAUUUGUCCCCCAACUUUUCCCCACCACGCAAUUAUGCAACUAAAUCAAGCUAAUUCAAUAACUCUCCCACUUAACUCACAUCUCCCUCUAUUUGCACAACUCCAGCCAAGAAACAAAACAUUCCCUAUCAUUUUCACCGUGAGUCCUCUUCAAAGAGCAGGAAGUCUCCAUUUCGUCCAGCCAAAUUCUUAAGGUAAGCUUUGCUAUAAUCUUCCAUUUUCUUCCAUUAUCCGCCUGCAAUCAGCCUGCAAUCACUGAGACAACAACACAAAUUUAUUUCAGUUCCAGUUCAUUCACCACACCACAACCGAAAAGUGAGAGAAAUCACUCAUUCACUCCCUGCCAGAAUCAAUAAGUUCAGUCAUUCCAAUUCAUUCAACUCCAACAGCCAUCAAUCAGUUCGAUCAUAUUCAAGGUCAAGGGCGAGAUUGACAAUCUGUUGAGGAGCUUUUGUAUCACAGAAAAUCACUAUCAGGUUGAGCAGCUGCCGAUGUUGAUGAAGUGAUGAGCGGGAUUCUUUUGUCUUUUUAUGUAUUAAAGAACUCUAGGGUUACAUGUCUUCAUACAUGUAAUCAGAAUCAUAAUCCGCUGCGUACUCAGAAGUUUUAUGCUUAUUUGGCUAAGUCAGAAAUAUCUGAACUUAUUAGUUAUCUGAGUCUAUACGACUAAACUUCUGUUAUAUUAUAAAUAUUCCUUUUGUUAAAUGAUGAAAUGUGAUCCUUCUUUGUUUAAUUAUCCCCUUUCUACCCCGCUUCUAAUAUUCCUCCAUUAGUCACGGUUUCCCGGCUUAAUUAUCCUUAAUUAGGACCGGUCGUGACAGAGUGGUAUCAGAGCAGUUCAUUUGCUCUGAACCCUAGAGUUAGCCCAUUUUUCUAGUAUGAUCACUAGUAUGAAAGAGUCAGUCGAUCAAUGCUCAGCACAUCAUCACAUCGUCAUGCUCAGCAAGAAAGAAGGUGGUAAUGAUUUUAAAACAUUGAGAAGUUCACGUUCUAUAUGAAUGUACUGAUGCUUACAUUCAAGUUUUAUGCUUUAUUGAUUGAUUAGAUAUCUCAAUGAACUUAGAUGCGUUAAGAAUGCAUGAUCACUGUUACGGGAAGAACAAUAGAAGCUAUAAACUCAGUUAUAUUUCACUAUAGCCAUGGUGAAGAGCUAAGAAAGAGGAAGAGAAUCCAAUGAAAGCAGUGCAAGCAGAGUGCCACGCACGAAUCACUGAAGCAGGCAUAGUUCUUCAUUCAGGUUG